rnacentral:rRNA from 1 species
UACGAAGGGGACUAGCGUUGUUCGGAAUCACUGGGCGUAAAGCGCACGUAGGCGGAUGUGUCAGUCAGGGGUGAAAUCCCGGGGCUCAACCUCGGAACUGCCUUUGAUACAGCACGUCUCGAGUCCGGAAGAGGUGGGUGGAAUUCCUAGUGUAGAGGUGAAAUUCGUAGAUAUUAGGGAAGAACACCGGUGGCGAAGGCGGCCCACUGGUCCGGUACUGACGCUGAGGUGCGAAAGCGUGGGGAGCAAACAGGAUUGAGAUACCCCGAGUAAGUC